CCUAGGGUGGCAGCAGUAAGGAAUAUUGGUCAAUGGAGGAAACUCUGAACCAGCCAUCCCGCGUGAAGGAUGAAGGGGCUCUGCCUUGUAAACUUCUUUUGUCUGGGGCGAAAAAGCUCGAUUUAUCGAGAACUGACGGUACCAGAAGAAUAAGCACCGGCUAACUCCGUGCCAGCAGCCGCGGUCAUACGGAGGGUGCAAGCGUUAUCCGGGAUCACUGGGUUUAAAGGCUGCGUAGGCGGUUAGGUAUGAAAGGCUGUGGCUUAACCAUGGAAUUGCCAUUGAUACUGCAGAGCUUGAAUGAGGUUGAGGUUGGCGGAAUGUGACAUGUAGCGGUGAAAUGCUUAGAUAUGUCAUGGAACACCGAUUGCGAAGGCAGCUGACUGGACCUAUAUUGACGCUGAGGCACGAAAGCGUGGGGAGCGAACAGGAUUAGAUACCCUAGUAGUC
rnacentral:rRNA from 1 species